rnacentral:rRNA from 1 species
UACGUAGGGGGCUAGCGUUGUCCGGAAUCAUUGGGCGUAAAGCGCGUGUAGGCGGUUCGGUAAGUCCGCUGUGAAAGUCGGGGGCUCAACCCUCGAAUGCCGGUGGAUACUGCCGGGCUAGAGUCCGGAAGAGGCGAGUGGAACUCCUGGUGUAGCGGUGGAAUGCGCAGAUAUCAGGAAGAACACCGACGGCGAAGGCAGCUCGCUGGGACGGUACUGACGCUGAGGCGCGAAAGCGUGGGGAGCGAACAGG